AAAGUCAAUUGUGGUCAAUUGUGCUUGAAUUGAUGGAUUUGGAGGUGGGAGAAGGUUGGAUACACUUCAUUCAUGUUGACACAAGUUUCAUUUGACAUUUUAAACAUCAAGAAUGAAGAAAAUAAAGUCAGGAGAAAACUUUCCAAAAAUGGAAAGUGACUUGUAAUUGAAAGUUUCCAAAAAUGGAAAGUUUUUCACCUCAAAAUUACAUGUCCAAAAAUGCUUCAAAUGAAAUUUUGUUCAACAUGAAAGUUGUAGACCUUGCUCUCACCUUUCCAAAAAGUCCAAGAACAUGAAUUUCUCAUGAAUGGUUGGCAAGUUGUGAUCAAAUCAUUUUCCAAAAAUGCCUAAGUUCAAAG
rnacentral:lncRNA from 1 species